rnacentral:lncRNA from 1 species
CAAAUAAAACUUGUAGAGAGACCAAUCAUUACUGAAAUAUAGAUAUUCAGUGGAAGCGGGAUAGUAAUGCUGAUGUAAGCAUACAGAAAUAGAGGUAGUGGAGGAAAGGGGAUAAAGAUGAGAGAAAGAGAGAGAUUCCUGGCAAAAUUUAACUUGCGUAAUUGGGUCCUAAGACUUUUUCCUUCAUGAGGCGAGGCGUAAGCCUCAUAGCAAACAAAAAAUUCAAAAAUUUAUUAAAAUACAAAUUAAGCUCAUAAUACAUCAUAGACAUUCUUGAAAAUUCACAAUAGAACAAUUUAUAGAGUGCCAACAAACAGAAGAAGAAUCUUCAAAGAAACUAUUGUUUUCAUUGGUGGGGAUAGUACGCCAUUCCCAACAUAGGUUUUGUGACAGUAGGCUAUUCUCAAAAUGGGUCAAUUAGAUUUUUUAUGUUGUGUGGGCCACAAGCCUUAAGGCGGUGCUGUGAGGUGUAUGCCUUAUACAACAGAGGCACACUCCUCAAAAAACUAAGCCUUGCGACAUUUUUUGCAUGCCUCAUUAUGAGGCGGCCUUAAGGCAGGUUUCAAUUGGAUUUUUUAAAAACAUUUAUUGGUGCCCCAGCAAGCAUUGAACUAAGUGACAGAAUGAAAUUUUGAAAGAGGUGCAAAAAUUACUCUAAUACAUUCAGAUAUCCUUAUAGGCUGUAAUAUAUCCUUUCUAGUUUGUCUAGUCAUUAGGAUCUUUUGAAUAGCUGUACAUUAUUUCUUUUCUAUCUUGUAAUUUCUAGUCCCAUAUAUCUGUAUCAUUCUUUUCAAAUUAACAGAAGCUGUUAAGCCUUUUUAACUGGAAGAAAACCAAUAGUAAAUAUAUAUCCUGGUACGGCUGAAGGAUUGAAAGUGAGACGUGUUUCUAACACAAGUUUUAAUUAUCCAGUUUAGCAAAGUACACACCUGAAUUUCGAGAACAGCUUCACCUGUUCUUGUAGGUUGCCCUCCAGCUUCUGGGACCAAAUUUUUGGCUUUGUGACACUAAAAUAAGCAAUUAAAAAAGAUGUUUAAGUUUUCCUUGCAUGAAAUAUGCUGAUAUCACACAGGAUUAGCUUGUGCAAGUCAUGUUGAUAUAUUCAUUUCGUGGGAAGAUCUGAUACCUCAUCAAAUAUGAUUAGACCAUCAUACUGGGGUCCACACCAUUGUACAAGCUGCUGCAAACGAGAACGACCUUUUUCAGAAGAUGCUAUGAGGCUGCUAUACGUCAGGAAAACAACUCCUUCCCUAAUGCCAACGGACUUCGAAUCAAGCUUAGAAUAAGAAAGCUUGUUCAAAGCAUGCACUACAAAGUAAAAGUACAAGGAAACCAACUCAGAAAUCCUCUAAACCUCAAAAACUUUAGUUAACUCCUAGCAUACCCUUAUACAAAAAGUAUGAUGUCAAUUAAAUUCGAAACAUCACAAGCAGAAAGGUAUAAAAUUAAAAGUCAGGAGAUUGAGACCUUAUUACACCACCUUUUACGUAAAUCAAAAAAUGAAAACCUUGAUAUUGGUUGACCAAGUGUAGACUAAAAAGAAAUUUGCCCUUGCUUAUUGCUUCCAUAUGCAGAUUUAUUCUCUGUUUUUCCCCUUCCUAUGGUUUCCACUUUCAAAUUGGGAAAUUAGUUCCACUAUUGUGCUUCCGUCUAACAUCAAACACCUUCAAUUAAAUGGCCACCUCACCAAUCAGUCUCAAAAUAGAUGGAAGGACCAAAUUUGAGAAUUUAAUAUUUUUCGCUAAGUCCAGAAGGUGUUUCCAGAAUCUAGACAUAUUGAUGAGGACAUCAUUUUUUAUUCACUUCUAGUUGAACUUUAUUUAUGUUUUAGAUUAUGUUUAUGUAAUUGGGCUUGUAUUGACCCAAACCCGUUCUAGUUAGGGUUUUGUCUUUACUAUUUAAACCUAAUUUUCCAUGUAAUUUCAUUAUUUUUGAUGAAUAAUAAUUAUUGAGAUUCGUUGUGGCGUCUCCUUCUUCUCCCUUUCCCCCUAAAUUUCUGCUUCUUCUCCGAUUUCUCCCCCCAUUCUAUCCGGUUUCUCACUUCCUUACUUCUUCUUUCUAUUCUUUAAUUCGUCCUGCAUCAAAUUUGAUAUCAGAGCCAAAAUCUGGGUAAUUUUUCAUCUACAAUCCAAAACUUUCUCAUAACCCCUUCCCAAAAACUUGUAGAACAAUACAAACGAAGGAAUUUGUAGUCAGGUAGCAGUCUUCUUUUAUUUCAGUUUUCUUUCUUAGUUGAAAAAAAAAGGUAGGUUACUGUUCACACCCGGAAUUUCCUUUUUUUAGAUUCUUCUGCAAUUUAUUAAAAAAAAUAAAUCGUUACACAUCUGUUGCAAUUUCAGUUCCAUUGUACUGUUCGCCCUUGCAACAUUUUCAUCACACGUUGGCACCAUAUAACAACUACAACAAACCCUAGCCCACCUUCACAAUCCCAAAUCCACGCUCGGACCAUAAAUCCCAAUCCACAAACACAUAAUUCAAAUCCAAACACUCAUAGCCCAGUAAUAGCGGGCCUAUUUAAUCAAUAUCCAUUGACCUUUCAUAACUCAACCCAUUCCCAGCCCAAACAGUGGCAGACAAACCCAAUUCCAAGGCUCUGUCUUCCCCGUCCAUUUACCACUUCCAGAAUCUCAAUCCCCCACGUCGGCGACCACACAUCUGCGAUUCCCACCGACAUCUUCCACGCCGGCAACUCCAUCUGCCUCAACUUCCACUGCUAAUCUAGCCAUCUCCACCAAUCGCUGCCAACAUCUCCAACCCACGACAUCACCGUCGCUCCGUCAUCACUGGCAGGCAAAUACUCGUCUCCGGUAGCCUCAUCGCCGUCAUCAUCUUCUUCAACCCUAACCCAUUUGGUAUCAGAGAAACUCUAUAGUUGUCUUCAUUCCACCGCCACCCGGUUUGCACCAGUACUCACUCUAUAUGCACAAACCCACCAUCGCUGCACCCAAAGCCACCAGCACUUAUUUUCACAUGCACAUAAAUACCACAAUCAGUCCAUAAAUACAUACAUACACAAUACUCACAACCGACUAUAAAUACACAAUCUCAGUUCUAUUGGAGUGAAAUUGAAAAACAAAAUCAUUACCACAACUUGCUCACACCCCCAAUUCUAAAAGUAGUUGACCAGCAACCAAAGAGAUCAGCACAACACAAUUAACCCAGUCACAACCACUAUCGUAUACUCAUGACCACAGGCAAUCCCGUUGGCCGAAAAUAAUCACUAAUCCACCACCAAUCCAUCCGGAAAGGGAUUAAAGCCAGCAACUGAGUCUUAGCGAUAUACACCAUAACCAGCAAAAUUAUAGUCAACAGAAGCUUAAAAAAACGUUGGACACAAAGGAGGGAACAUAAGCAUACUUGGGGCCCACGCGUUGGCAAUUCAGACCAAUCGGAAUACUCGAAGUCACAACCGAACUACAAGGAGUCACUGUUUUUAUCCAUCUUUAGUUUACACUACUACAUUUUAAAAUUGCAUCAUUUAAAUUCUUUGUGUUGCUGUUAUCUAUAUAAUUUUAGCCUUAAACCCCACGUGAUCGGAAUUAUUGAACGAAUUGACUUUUCAUUGUUCCCCACUUAUCAACGUGAUUAGAGACUUUAACUAGUGUUUGAUCAUUGCUUUGCUAUUUUACAUGUACCAGCAGUAUUAGCUUACUUUGGAUUUAUUUAAUCCCAAAACCUAAAAUUAAAAAAAUGGUUCAAGUUUUUAAUUUCCAUUGCUUGCACUUAUUGUUCAUUGAUAUCUCUAUUACACGUCAUUUAGCUGCUAAUAUAGUUAUGUAUAGUGGUCGGCUAGUCGUCUUAUCACUCCUUGUUUCAGUACUUAGACAUGGACUCUUCACAAUUUAAGGCACUCACUAGACAAUUGGCUCAACUUGUCACUAGCCAGCAACACUUACAAACUCAAUUAACAGCUUUCCAAACCGAGAUGGUUGCUACUCCUGAAAAGAGCAGAGAUCUAGUUGCUAAUCUGAACAAUUUUAAGCAAAUCCCUCAUUCGAUUGAUAUUAAUAAUUCUAAAGUGUCCCACAAUAUACAAUAUUGUCGUCGACGAGGUGAUCAAAAAUAUUUUCAAUACGACCGUAAGGAUAGGGAUAAGGUGAGUGAGCGAGAACGAGGCCAUAUUCGUCAUGGUACUCAUUCUCUUUCUCGUCAUAAGGAGAGUUCCUUUAGAGACACUAAUUUAGACACUCCUACUUUUGAUGGUUGCUUAGAUUUUGAAGUUCUUACUCAAUGGAAUGCCCUUAAACAAAGGAAGCAGUUAGUGACUCAGUAUAUUGCUCAAUUUGAGGAGUUUCGAAUGAAGCGUCAUGUCAUUGAGGAUGAGGCCUUAACUUUGAGUAAGUUAAUACAAGGUCUAAGAGAUGAACUUAGGCGUGAGUUUUUCUUUCGAGGUGUCAUUACUCUUGAUCACGCUUACUCUUUAGCUCGAGACUAAGAGUUACUUAUUAGUGCUCCAUAUGAAAAGCGUAGUCACAUCGUUCACUUGUCUCAUCAGCACCACCUCAUCAUAAGUCUAUUAUAGGACCUUCCCCAUCUAAUGUUCAUCUCAUAUCGACGCCGCCUCCUCCUAUUAAGUCCCUUCUAGGACCCCUAUCUAAUGCUCCUCUUUUAUUGGAAAAUAAGGGUCAAGGUUUUGAAACUCCAAUGAUUUCUUCUCACUUGCAGUACUUCAACUGUAAGGACUAUGGUCACACUUCUCCCUAACCUCCGAGUCAAACGCUAGUCAUUGAGGAACAAAAUGAUUUAAUAGAUAAUCGGUUAGAAGAUCAAAUCUAUAAACCUAUACUUGAAAAAUGUGAUGACUUGAAUGAUAUUGAUUACGCUCUCUUAGAUAGUAUUCGGACUUUUCUUAUGAAUCUAGGUAUUGUCCCCCUUGAUCUCGAUACCUCUCAAUCAAGUGUUGUAUGUCGUACUCUUAUCCAACCCAAAUAUGUCGAGGAUUUGCGUAAUCAUGCCAUUUGCAAGGAAAAUCUGGGACAUUGAAAUUUGGUCCUCCCGAUUGUUCAAAUUGCAUAUAACAAUUCUAUAAAUGGAUCUAUAGGUCUUAGUCCUUUUGAAGUUGUUCUUGGUUAUAAGUCUAGGAGACUGUUAGACCUUAUUUCUAUGUUCCCACAUACUAGUGUGUCGAUGUUAGCUGGAGCAUUUGCAAGUCACAUUCAUGACUUGCAUAUUAAGAUCAAUAAACAACUUGACACAAGUAAUGCAUUAUAUAAACUUCAAGCUGAUUUGCAUAAACGACAUUUUGAAUUUAAUAUUGAGAAUUAUGUUAUAUUGCAAGCCCAUAGUGCUGGUCCUUGUGAAAUUAUAAAGCAUGUUGGUUCAAAUACAUAUAUCAUCGAUCUUUUAUCACAUUUUGACCACCAUUCUAUUUUAACUGUUAAGGACUUCGUUGCUUACAAAGGCUAUUUUAACCCCUCUGAUAAUCAUUUUCUACCUCCUUAUUGAAAUUCCUACACUGAAUCUUUUGAUAUGUCUACUUCAAUACCAUCUGUCACAGCACACAAAGAUAAAAUUGAUACUAUUUUAGAUGAACGUGUUGUAUUGACCAAUGAUGGCAAGAUUCAGUACUUCCUUAUUUGUUGGGUAGAUCGACGUGCUUCUCAUGCUCCCAUUAUGUACAAUCAUGUGAAAAUUUUGACAAUGAGGUGCAUGAGUAUUGGUUAUUUGGAGUCCAGUAUCACUACUUGAUUAGAAGGAAAGAUCACCACCCUUGGCCAAAUCAUAUUCUUGGGAAUAAGCUACAGUUUUCAAGACUAUCAAUCAUGAAAUUUCGAUACUUGGUUCAUCAAAAAGAUUGUCCUCCGUGGCUUGACUUGAAGCAUUUGGAGUAUCAGAUUGACUGUAGCCUAUAGUGAUCUAUCAACUCGACGGGGACGAGUUUUUCUCCCACCCCGGGAGAGUUGAUGAGGACAUCAUUUUUUAUUUACUUCUAGUUGGACUUCAUUUAUGUUUUAGAUUUUAUUUAUGUAAUUAGGUUUGUAUUGACCCAAGUCUGUUCUAGGUAGGGUUUUGCCUUUACUAUUUAAACCUAAUUUUCCAUGUAAUUUCAUUAGUUUUGAUGAAUAUGAAUUAUUGAUAUUGGUUGUGGCAUCUCCUUCUUCUCCCUUUCCCUUCCCCCUAAAUUUCUACUUCUUCUCCGGUUCCUUCCCCCCCCCCCUUCUCUCCGGUUUCUCCCCCUUUCUUGCUUCUUCUUUCUAUUCUUUAAUUCGUCCUGCAUCACAUAUCACCUAUGAUAGUGUAUGUCUUGAUAAAUAGUUCAGUUCAAAUGUGUGUGCAACUGAAUGCCACCUUCCCUCCAAUAAAAUAAAAAGAAACUCAAUGACCCCAAACAUAUGGAAAGACAGGAACAUGAGAAAAUAACAACCCCAAUUUCAAGGCAAUUAACAGAAAAAAUUCAUGAAAAAAAGCAGCAUGUACCUUCUAUACACGUUGCACCCACGUCAUCCAAGUCUCUCCUAGAAUCAAAUUUCAAGUCUGAACCAAUGGAAAUCCACCUGCAUAAGGUCAUUAUAAAAACGAAAGAAAAAAAUAUAGAACACAGGUUUAAUUAGACCUCAUGAUACCAAACUUGCACUAACCAGUGCAUAUCACAGAACACUUACAAUGCUUUCCUUCUCUCUUGGUGCCAGUUCUCCCAUAUUAACCCUGCAAUAGUCCGUCCUUUACCCACACCUGCACCAUCUCCAAGAAAAAAUCCAGCCCUUGCACCAUUAGGAAGGUGCUGGAGAUGCCUCUGUCAUGGAAACAAGAAUAACAUUGUAAACAUUAAAUACAACAUACAUAUGUCUCUAUGUGUGUCAAGUUGUACAAGCAACCUGACAAGCAUAGACCAACGUUUCAAUUUGCAAGCAUGACAGUGCUUUUGAAUUUUCCAGGUCAUCCUUUAUUCUCAGAUCAUAAGUAGGUUCAGGAGGCUGCACUGCAGAUAAGGAAGAUGUCUCCACAAUAGGAUCUGGAUGGGGAGGCCCGAUGGACAGUUUGGGAGGACGCUGAAAAUGCAAAGAAAAACAGGAGAAAAUUUAAAAUUGUCCUCCUUAAGGUCCAUAAAUUCAAAAGAACGGCUCAAUGCAGAGUGAAGGUUGCUAGAGAAAACAGAUUAUUCAAGGAGGAUAAGGACUCAUACGUAAUCCAUGAAUGUAUCUCCCACCGUUCCACCUUCAUCUUCUUCGCGCUCAACUUCGAUGGCUACCUAAAUGGCGUUAUUUCAAAAGGACAAUAUCAAAAAUUUAAUGUAAUUCAGGGAAAAUACACUAUUGAAAGAUAAACUCUAAAACAAGCAACUUCUAAAGAUGCAAUUUGUAAUAAAAAAUGAAAUAGUUAGAAAAUUCCGUAUUAAACUCACAGAGAACUCAACAAAAUAUCUGCAUGUGCCAAAAAUGUGUUAGGAGACCCAACUUUAUGGGAACUUUUAAGCAAAAUGCUUCAACUAAAGGAUCUAGAUUUUAGAGUUCCUUCCCUCCAAAUCGACCAAAUUAAGACACUUGCAGUUUCAUUUAAAGUCUCACUCCUUCAUCCUCGUUAAAAGGAUUAUAAAAUAAGCCUCAAUAACCAUAAGCACGACCAAUCUCACCCGUAACAUGGUAAAUACAAUGUUUUUCUCCAACUAAAAAAAGAGACAGGCCCAUAAUUGGGUCAUCCUCCCUUACUGUAAAUCAAGGUCUUUGGACUAAUGGAUGUCUCCUGCACAAGUAAUCAUUUUUUUUUUUUUACAAAGUGAAGGAGACUACUGUCGUAUUACCCUGAUUGUAAUGCUAUAUCUUCUUAAGAGAAGAAUGGUUCCAUAAGGUCCCUUCAAAAUUAUCUUUUCAAACAAGAGCCGUUGAAACGGAACUCAACCGGCAUCAUCUAACUUUUUCGUUCCAAUAUUUUGGUUCAGUUCUCUUCCGUUUUCUUCUAUGAGAAAUGAAAUAACAGAUACAGCCAUACAGGAAAAGCAUAGAAUUAAUAUGGAAGCAUUUUUAAGGUAACUAAAAAUGGUAAAACUCAUUCUUAGAGGGAUCCGAGGCUGAUAAUUCAAUGAGUAUAAUUAGAGUCAAAUGACAAAUAAGCAAUGUACAAAAAUUCCUUUUUUUGGAUGAAAGGAGGAUCGUAUUAAAAUCGAUGAAUCGGAAAAAGAAAGAGAAAGAAUAGAUGUUAGAUCUUCCUGCAAGAAUGUGUUUUUGGAUGCAUGAGGGGCAAGUACGGGUUUUGUAUGACUAAAAGCUCCAGCAUGUACUAUUCUAUAAGAUAUUUCAUUCUUAAUAAUUACUUCUCUAGCAAGGAAUAAUAAUUUUGCGCAUUAAAUGGGAUCUACAGUCAUUUGCAUUGAAUUCUAUUAUAUUUUCUAUUAGGACAUGGCAAGCUUGCCAAGUUAAACAUAUAAUAAUUACAAAGGAACGUCGAAGUUUAAAACAUGAAAAACAAAGGUCUUGAGUCAUUUGAAAACAGGUAAUUAAUGAAAACUAUAUUAAAGUUCGUAAGGACCAAGUUGCCACUAUACUAUCCCAAAUGUUUACAAUUUUCUGUAAAACUCUAAACAUUUUCCGAGUUGCCACUGAAUUUUCUGAAAUAUUUCGCAAUUGCAACUUUAAAAGUUAAGCUCGUUAACUUUUAAAAUGGAGCGUGACGGAAAUCAAUACUUUUUUGACGGAAGUCAAUGUGAUGGGUACUAGUCCAAAUGUUAAAGCUGAAAUACGAGAUAAGAAUGUAUAUUCCAAUGAAGUAUCUCAGUGAAGAAUGACAAGGUUUAAUCUUUGACACUGGAAAGUCACCUUUCACUAACUUUUGUAUUUUCGGUUCUUCCAAUGAUUCAACAUCUGAACUUUUUAUUCUUAUUAAGUAGGUCUCUUAACUUUAAACUAUCAGUUGAGACUAACCAACUGAAUAUGCAGAAGUAAUAAUCUCACAAAACUUCACAUGAACCACAGUGAAAUCCCCGAGGUAAGAGGGUUUAUCUGAAUAGACAUCACACGAAUCUUAAUUGCUGAGAUUGGAGCAAAUUAUUUAUGAAAAAAUCCACCUAUAAACCAUUCAUAAUGGACUAUCAUUUAGUCUUUUCGGCAUAAAAAUUGCAAUUAGCUCUGAGUAGAGAUUCCUUCAUAAGGCAAUCCAUAGCUAUUACUUACUAAACAGAGCACGAUUAAUCAUGAAUCAAUAUAAUGCAUAGUCAGUAGUAUGAUACGUUCCCUCACUCAAAAAUCCACAAGUGUAAUACACUUAAUUGGUAAUGUCCCGCAAAUUUUUAUAAAUGAUCCCCAGACUUGGCUAUCCAUUUGCACGGGAGUCCAAAAUUCACAUUCACAGCAAAGAAAUCCAAUGGCAUUCAAACAUUCCAAUUUCCAUGUCACUACAUACUUUGCAACCACAAAAAAUUAAAAGCGAAAAAUAGGAGAAAUAAAAUGAGGAAACCUCAUUGACUUCUUCAGAAGGCGGGGGCAGGCGAAAAUCCGGAGAAAGAUGUCGAAACUUUGAGAGAUCGACUGUCAGUUCAAUGCCGCACUGAGGACAAUUGAAGCGUGACAAGCCAUGGGGAACAUUAAGCAAGGCCUUGCAGUGCGCGCAAGGCAGCUGUAUCUUCGUCGGAUCAAUGCCGUAGGCCUGAACGUUGCGCUGUUGAUGGGCCUCUGCCUGGUUGGGCUGCAUCAGCUCGGGCGGCAGCAUUUGCGGCAAUUUGCAACUAGGGCACGCGAACUCCGUCAAACCCGGGCCCACUGUCAGAACCAUCUUGCAUCCCGCGCAACGCACCUGGCAACCCCCAACGUUUCCUCCGGUAAAUUGGGCGGGAGCUGGAGGCGGUGGCGUUAGAGGAGGCGGAGGAGGAUGGGUAAUCGGGGGCGGCGGCACCGAUGGCUGCCCCAUUUAGAUUUAUUCUAUACUCCAAAAAUUUGUAAAUGUUAUUGAAAUUGAAAAGAAAAAAUAGUAGAUUUGAGGAAUUAUUACAGUGUUACAGAAAAUUGGAGGAAUUUGAUGAAGAACGGGCAAAGGGAAUAAUGGAUUUUCGCGGUGGGUGCGGUUUCGACGAGCACUGUGCCGAUUCUCGAGUCUUGGCGCUCAAUGUGUGCAUGCGGAGUCACCUUAUUUCAACGGCUCAUUACAAUUGUACUCUCUUUCUACCUUGGCUCCGGGGGAUUUUCAUUUUUAUUUCUUUUUUUCCUUAAUAGAGGGAAAUUUGAUCUGCCACUAUUUGUUCUACCACUUUUGGAAGCCCCUCGAUUAUGUCACCAUAUCUCAAUUUUACCUUGAAAAAUUAUACAAUUACGUCAUGAAGAAUUAGCCGACCUACUAAUGAUAUAAAUAUUACCGUUGCUUUGACUUUACUCACAUUAGUGUCAUAUUUCUAUGCGGGUCUUACCAAAAAUUGAUUAAGUUAUUUCAGGAUAACCAAUGCUUAAAUCCGACUCUACCCAAAUUUUACUAGUUCGCCCCAACAUUUCUCAUUUGUCUAGCUGUUGCUGAGCAGUUUUUGGAUAUCAAACGGGCUUCCCCAAAUGAUAAUUUGGUCGAUUUUCCCUCUUUUACAAUUGAUUACGUCCAAAGUAUAAUGCGGCAGUUAUAGUAUGGCUUUGGGGUGUCGUAUUCACAGGGAGAUGAGAAAUUUGUUAAAGGAUCAAAAGUUUAGGAUUUUCUUAGUGCUUUGUGUAAGGAAUUUAUCAGCUUGAAUGGAAUGUAACUAUCAAUUAUUGAAGUAACGAAAUUUGAAUCGAUGUGUGAAAUAAUGAAGCACAUGAAUUCCCUCGAUUGAUUUGGAUUAAUCAAUGUGAAUCACUCUUUCAAAUCACUUUGAGAAACGACAAUAUACCUUAAGUAUAAUGCAGUAAUAAAAGCAUCAAUAAAAUUGUAUGAAAUUAAAAUUCAACAAAUACUUAAUUUCACAAUAGACAAAACAUGAAUAAGUCUAUGAGAAAUAUAAUAAAAGUUAAACCAAUCUCACAACAAUUCUUAAAGUUGAGACCUAAAUCAAUUGAAUUUCACUUAUAACUCUAGAAUUUAGAUUUCCUCCAAGAUAUUCUCACUUUAAUUCAUUGGAAUCAGUUUCAAAAUCAAUCAUAUACAUCAAGCAUAUAAUAUAAGUGAAUCACACCAAUGGGAUGAUUGAAAUUGGAAUUCAAUACAUACUUUAAUUAUUCAAUGAAAAGAACAUUAUUAAAUCCAUGAAAAUCUAAUACGUAUUAAACCAACUUCAAAACAUAUUCAAUAAACAGGAAAUCAUAAACCUAUAAUUGUUUAUCAAUGAAAAACCAAAUUACAUGCGUGAAGAGACAUUAACAUAAUCGGCACCAAUCGAGUUCAUCACUUGCUUUACCAAAGUUUUCUUAGUCUUUCAUGGAGUUUCUUGGCUAAAGAUGAGAGAAAAAUGGAGUCCAGGUUCAAUCCCCCACGUUUUGGAGUGUUUUUGAGCUUAAGAAACGUGUCAAAACGUAUUUCCAUAAGUUAUAACAUCAAUUUAGGAAUUUGGCAAAUUUGGUCUUGGAGGAUAACUAUGCGACCGCAUGGUUAUAAGCCAUGCGAUCGCAUAGAACAAAUGUGUGGAGCCCAAAAGUUCCCAGGACCCUUCUAUGCGGUCGCAUAGCUUUUGAACUAUGCGACCGCAUAGUUCAAAUUUUUUUGGCCGGAUAGUUUUUAAUAUUUUAUGGCUAUAACUUUUCCUUUCAAUGUUCGAUUGAGAUGAUUUAAGUUGCCUUGGACAGCUAACUCGAAGGGCUACAACUUUGCUUCAGAAGUCAACUUCCAAUUCGAUCAUUUUUCAUGUCAAAAAUGGGUCUUAAUAUAAGGCUGAAAAUCGGUGCGUAACUUUUUCAAUUGGGAAAUGAUUUGUGAAGAUGUUAUGAUCAUAUUUUACUUUUUUUGACUUCAAAUUACACCCAAUUGACUUCUAACUUUCUUGAAUCAUCAUUUCAUCGCCUGUCUCAUUAUGGAUUAUUUGUAACUUGGUUUCUAAACUUUCACUUUCUUCCACUUUGACAAUUUUUACUCAUUUCUUCCAAAUUUCAUAUUUUCCAUCAAAUUGCGAUCUAGAUCAAAACAUAAAAGUAAUGAGUAUAUUUUAUCAUCAAAUAAUUACACAAAUGCAACAAUUAAUAGGGGAAAAUAUCAUAUUUUACACUCUGAUCAACAAUCAAUUUCUCUACGCACUUUCACAUCUUCUUAACCCAAAAUGAAAUGGGUAGAGAGGGGAGAGGAAAUGUUCCUUUUUUUUCAGGGUACUCCUGGGAACAAUCCAGUGGAGAAGGGUGGAGCCUGUAGCUCAAAAGAUUAGAGCACAUGGCUACAGACCAGGGUGUCGGGGGGUCAAUCCCUCAUUGCCCACAAUCGGCCACUGGCGCAAUUCGCAGAAUUAGAAGCCUUUGUACAAUUUGCUUUGGAUGUCGACGAAGUUACUCAUAAUCAAUUCCCAAAAGGUCAAUGAUUACGUGAAUUGCUUGUCUCUAGUGUCUUAAAAAUAUUUUAAAAAAGUGUAAGGUAAAAUAUGACUUUCAACAUUGAGCCCUUGUUUGAGCUCCAUUAUGAUUAAUUUUUGUAGAAAAAUCGUAUUUUGUAAUAGUAAUUUUUUGAAGAAUAUGUGUUUAAAAAAGAAAAAAAAAUUUGAGUUUACAUGUAAUAUAAUUUUAUUGGAAAAUGUGUGUUUAAAAGGAAAGAGAGAAAAAUACAUUUUAAAAUUAAUGGAGCUCAAAGUUCACACAAGGGCUAAUGUGAUGAAAAUCGAAGGGUGAGCCUCAACAUUAGGUUUAUUGUUGUCGCCUUCUUCAACUAUUUGUAAACAAUUUUUAUUAGUAAGACUAGUUAGUGAACUUGCAAUUGGUUAGUCUUUAAAAUACGUGUAUGUAAAUUUUAGAAAAAAUCAUUUAUAAAUUUGAAAGGUAUUUAUAAAUUUGAUGAAAAUGACUUAUUUUUUGUCAAUUUUUUAUGUAUAUUUUUUAUUAUUCAUAUGAACCUUUGAGAAUUUACAUAUAUUUGUACCAGGCAUUUCUCUAUACAAAAGUUUGUGAAAAUUUUUUUUAUGCGAAAUAUAUUUCUCUAUAUAUAUAUUAGCUCAGCUUGAAAUAUGAUUUAGCCCACUCAAACUUUGCCCCUAAUCGAUACUAUGAUUAUAAUAAUUAAAUAUCACCAAAAUAUACAAUAUAACAAUAUCUACACUAUUUCAUUACAUUUUUUUUAUGUUAUGUUGGCAUCCAUCAUGUAGAAUCCUAAAUUAUAACUUAAAAUGUUAAAUGCAAGUUCAUGUAUUAACCUUCUUCCGAGAACUUGAUUUUGUUGUCAUUGGAACUUGACUGUAAGAUUGCAAAAAGUAAUUAGAACAUUAGACAUAAUGUAGACAUGGGCAUAACCAUAAAGGGAGAAAACCUCUCCAAACUUUUCAAAGUUUAAUUCAAAAGAAUUUUAAGUCGAACAAAAAAUUAUUUAUUAUAUGAAGAAAAAAGAAAUUUUUUAAAUUUUUUUCGAAAUAUAUAAUAAAAACAAAACAAAUUAAAGAAAAGAAAGUUAUGAAAAUUAAAUUAAGAAUAUAUAAAUAAAAAUGUUAAAUGCAAGUUCAUGUAUUAACCUUCUUCCGAGAACUUGAUUUUGUUGUCAUUGGAACUUGACUGUAAGAUUGCAAAAAGUAAUUAGAACAUUAGACAUAACGUAGACAUGGGCAUAACCAUAAAGGGAGAAAACCUCUCCAAACUUUUCAAAGUUUAAUUCAAAAGAAUUUUAAAUCGAACAAAAAAUUAUUUAUUAUAUGAAGAAAAAAGAAAUUUUUAAAUUUUUUUCGAAAUAUAUAAUAAAAACAAAACAAAUUAAAGAAAAGAAAGUUAUGAAAAUUAAAUUAAGAAUAUAUAAAUAUUAUUUAAUUAAAAUUAAAAAAUUAAGUUUUAUCAUAAAGAGAAAAGAAUUUCGAUUUGUUUUCAUCGUGGGAGCAAAAACGAUGCGUAUUGCCUUCAAUGAUUUCUUUAUUUUCACAUAUCACUUCACUGUAACCAUCACCUCUACUGUAACAUUUCUCCAUUUUCAUACGCCACUUCACUUCAUCCAAUCCAAUACUAAUAAAGAAAAGAAUCUAGAUGAUUUAACAAAUUAAAGAACAAAAAAAAAAAGAAUUGCAAGUAAAAAUAGAAAAAAUAUUAUUAUAAAGUUUUUUAAUUAAAUUGAAAUAAUAAAAAUGAAAAAUUAAUAUUAUUUUUUAUUAAAAUUGAAAAAAUUACAAAAAUAAUUUUAAAUCAAAAAAAUUAUUUAUAAUAUGAAAAAAAUUAAAACAAUUUUCAAAAAAUAUAUAAUAAAAACAAAAGAAAGUUAUGAAAAUUAAAUAAAAAAAUAUAUAAAUAUUAUUUAAUUAAAAUUGAAAAAAUUAAGUUUUAUCAUGAAGAGAAAAGAAUUAAAAAGAAUUUUAAAUUGAAAAAAAAAUUCACUUAUAAGGAGCACAAAUGAAUCACAUUCAAUGUACUGCAACUCGAAUAUAAGUAAACCAAAAAGGAUCAAAAUUUUUAAAAUCAUUAUAAUUUUUUUAAAAAAUUAACCUUGGUAAUAUCUGAUUAUUUUGGUCUUUAAAGUUAUCCAGACAAUCUUACUUAUCAUUAACACUAUGAAUUAGUAAAUAAUGAAACAAAAUGAACUAUAGCACGAGAAACAAAUCACAAGUAAAGAAGAUUUUCACUUACAAUGAGCACAAAUGAACCCCCUCCAAUGUAUUGCAACUCGAAUUUGAGAUUUCAAUUUUUUGAAAUUUUGAACAGAAUAAGAAAUGAAGAGAAAGAAGACGAAUAAGAAGAGCGAUAGAUGUAUGAUAGAUUGAGUGAAAAAUGGAAAAAUUCAGUUGCCCAUACUUCCUUCCAAUGGCCCAAUAGGGAUGGCAAUUUACCCCGUCCCGUGAAGAAAAAGUAAAAAAUAAAAAAAUAAUAAUAAUAAUUUUAUUUUUAGACAAUUUAUCCGUUAAAAGCUCAUUUUAAAUUUGUAUUUUAUUUUCUAAUAAUAACAUAAUUCGAAACUUUCAAAAUAUAAAAAAAAUUAAACAGGACAAAAAAUUGCCCUGUCCCCGCCCUACCCUAUCUAAGGUGGGGCAGAGUUUUGACCAAACGGGGCGGGCCAAUGCUUUCGCUCUUUUAUAUACAUAGGAAGUAAAUUAGCCUAUUUAAUGAGUUUAACGUUAGCUAAUAAAUAAAACACAUCUUAUGAUGUCAAAUCAUCUUUUAGGGAUAUAUUUAUACGUAUCAUAUGUCUGGGUUUCAUUUUAUUUACUAACAAAAUACUUUUCAAAAUUAAACAGUACUUCUAAUCUCACAUUUGUAAAAUCCAUGGGUACUACACAUUUAUUCACUAAUCAUUUAUUGGAAAGUAAAAUUUUAGCAAAAGAAAAUGAAAUCCAAAUAUAGGCUUAAUUUUAUUGUCAAAAUUUAUGAAAUAGUAAAACCAUUAAUUUUACAUACAGAGUAUUUUAUUAUAUGAAUGUGUUGUUGAAAAUUAAUAUGUAGGAAAAAAAUAGAAAUUUCAAAUAAUGAUUAUCAAUUAUGGGCUAAGUUUGUCGUUGUCCCAUUCAAUAAACGAGAGCACUUCAACAAGUUUUUAACAGAUAAAUAAAACUACAACUUACGACACCAAAUCAUCUUUUAUGGAUAUCUUUAUACCUAGGCUAUGUAUGAGUUUCAUUUUUCACUAAAAAAUAUUUUUCAAAAUCAAACAUUAUUUUUGACCCCACAUUUGUACGAUUCAUAAAUACAAUUCACUUACUCAUCACUCAUUUUUUGAAAAGUAAAAUUUUAACAAAGAAAAUGAAACCCAGACAGUGGUUUGAUUUUACCGUUGAAAUAUUUUCAAUAUGAAACAUUAAAAAUGUCUGAAUUUGAUGGACUAAGAGAGUCUCCAAUAAUUUUCUUUUUUAUGAUCUUUUUUCUCCAAUAGACUUUAUACAUCUCUCGUUCUCUUUAUUUUAGAUAGUUAAACUCUUUAUUUAUAAAAAUUAAUAACAAUAGUUAAUAUGACUCUUCAAAUAGGGCUAGUGGUAGCAAUGGGUCGAGUCGAGCCGGCUCGGCCCUUAACCUCACACUCGCGGCUCGUUUUCAAUGAGCCGAGCUUGGGCUCCGUUCGUUGAUUUUGAGACGAGCUCGUGGGUCGAGCAGAGCUUUGACUCGUGGCUUCGUCUUUUUUUUUUUUAAAUAGAGAAAAACACAAAUAAUGUAAUGAAAACACUUUUUUAAAAAGUAAAAAGUGUUAAAAAAAAUACAAAUAAUUUAAUGAAGACUUUUUUUAUAUUUUAUUUAUAUCAUAUUGUAAUAUUUUUUAUAAAGUAUAAAAUAUUUAUUUAAUGAAAACGAAUUGUUUUUUGAAAUAUAUUUACAAAAAAUAUUUUUUUAUUUCUUUUUAAAGUAGAUAAAAUGUAAAUCCUCCUCUUUUAUCCGGGUUUGGGACCGGCCACAUCAAUUUUAAAUAAGCGGAGUUAAAAAUUGUACACGUUACACGAACAACUUGUUGUAACGUGUACAAUUUUUUAAAUAAAAUUAAAUUUAACGAUUAAAAAAUAAGGAAAUUUUGAUUUAUAUAGUUAAAUCAAAUAUCACUUACUUGACGACAUACAAUUUCAGCGUAUUUAUCUUGUAGUCGAAAAUGAGCGUCCUGCUAAUCUUUCAAGCACAUUAACAUUUUCAAAACAUCUUUUUCUAGUCGGCUCCUCUCCCGACAUCGGUCAAAACUCUUUUACCUGCACUUAAAGCAAAUUCCAAAGCAAUAGUGCUAAUUGGAGGUGUCAGCAGAUCUUUCAUAAUUGCAGAAACAAUUGACCAACGUCUUUCAUACUUUCGCCAGAAUUCAAUUACUUCUUCUGAACUUUUUUAAUUAUUCCGUCUGUUGGCAUAUUAUGAGAAGUGAUCAAUUAACUAGGCAGGCAUCACAUUUUGAGUUUCGGCCAAUAUCAGUUGCAUCAUAUUUAAAUGUAUUAAUGCCUUGAAAUAAAUUCAUUAUUUCGACACCAUCUUCUUCAAUUUUAGCCGAAGGAGUAGGUGCAGAGGGUAGCCUACUAACAUUCGCUCCCAUUCUUUCCGCAGAUAAAUUAUAUAUUACACAUAAUGUUUGCUCUAAAUUCUUAUAGGUGAUAGAUGUAUCAAAUAUUAAGGUUCUAUUGAUUUGAUCAAUUACGUAUUUAAUUCCUGAAAUAUUAUAUCGAGGGUCCAUUGCGCAUGCUAAUGGAAAUAAUAUACGCAGUUCUUCCUAAUAUUUUCUAAACUUUAAUUCCAUAACGAUUAUAAUUUCACUAAAAUCAGGAUCAUUUUUAUAUUUAUGGAAUGUUCUUGCAAUUAUAUAAAGGCGUUUAAGCACCAUACAGCUUGUGGAAUAAUAAACGUCAGAUAAAAUCUUUAUGGUCUCAUAAAAAGAUGUUAAAAAUCGUUUAACUUUCAAAGCUAAAACCUAAUCAGAUUCAUUUAACAUACCAUCGUUAUCACUUCUAACGAGUCGAUCGUUAUAAAAGUCAGUUAUUAAAUUUUCAAAACCUUUACAUGACUUUAAUAGCAAGUAGAGUUCCAUCUAUAACCUACGUCGCUAGCAAAUAUUUUAGCAGUCGUCACUCCUAAUUCGACACAAAAAUCUUCAAAUACUUAUUUUUUACUAGGAGAGAUCGUAAUAUAUACUAAUGCAUUCCUAAUCCUUUGAAAUUCAUCUUUUAUAUGUUUUAAGCCAUCUUGCACAAUUAAAUUCAAGAUAUAACACACACAACGAAUAUGAAACAAAUACUCACCAAAAUCAGGUUGAAGUGUCCUACACAAUUUAUUGACACUUUAUUAACACUAGCAUUAUAAAAAAUAAUAGACCGAAUUUUAGUCUUGUAAUUAUAUUCUCUAACAAUACUGAUAAUAAAAUUAUAUAUAUUAUUAGUAUUGUGAGGAAACUCAAUAAUUCUAAAAGAAAUAAUUUUUUUAUGCAUGCACCAAAGUGAGUCUAUAUAGUGUACAGUUGCAGCUAUUUAUGAUAUUUUAUUAACCUCUUCCCAUAUAUCAGAAGUUAAAGAUAUAACACCUCCAUAUUGUUGUAAAUUCAUAAUUAAUUGUUGUUUUGAAUUAUUGAAAUAUUGUAUUGUAUUGGAAUGAAGAGUGUUUCGACUUACCCCAAUGUACAUUGGUUGCAGAUAUUCUUUCACGAACGAGACGAAGUGUUGGUUGUCUGCAAUAGUCAGAGGUAACUCAGUGGCGGCAAAAAAUUUCACCGUUCUGGUUCGAGUAUUGUCCUCCGAAUACACCCACGUAGAUAGGGGUGAAGUCAUAGAACCGGCGCCUGGACUGCCAAUUGCAAUUGUGUUUGACCAUCUGGAAGAAGUCUAUAUCUGGCUGCACAUGCUUUGUAGUGACAAUUGAGAUGGGUGGUACCAAUUCCUUUUUGUCAUGCCAAUCUUUGUUGGCAGUAUUUACAUACUGCUUUAAAUUUUGUAAGGCCAUCGACGAUUUUUCCCGUUGAAAUCAACUUAAAAUGAUCCCAACAUUUUACUUGUUUUUUGUCCUUUCGCUUUCCCCUCGCAUCUGGGAUGUUUAAUUCGACAUUUUCAUCCUAAUGUUCCUCUUCGGGAACGUUAAUAUCAUUCAAAUCAAUUGAAUCGUGGUUUCCCUGACCGUGAAUGUGAACAUCUUUAGAUAUGAGCACGUUAUUUAGACCGACAAAUUCAUUUGGAAAUUGAUUUUGUGGUGUCCUAUGCGAUUCGCCAUGAUGUAGCCCACAUCUCGUAUUGAAUAAGCUCUCAACAAAUGAACGUUAGUCCAUUUGUUUGAUUGUUUAUGAUGAAAUCCAAAUAUAAUAAUUAGAAAAAUAUAAAUGUAGUGAAAUUAUGAGAAUUGAGAAUUGGAUGAAUUGAAAUUGUAAAUAAUAAACUGUAAAAAUUAAAUCGAUAUUUUAUAUUUUGCAGCACAAAAGAGUAAAAACUCGAUAAUUGAUAUAAUAAAAGAGAGUUGAAGUAGUGAUUGAGUAAUUAAUAUGAAAAAAAAGGGGAGUUAAGGGGUAUUUAUAGUAGAAGGAGUCACUUUUUAAAAAAUAACGAGCCGGGCUUGUCUUCAAGCUCGGCUCGCCUCCCGACGAGGCCCGCUCGACUCGCGCUCGGGCUCGUGAUUUUACGAGAUCGAGCCGUGCACGAGCCCUAUUUCAACGAGCCGAGUGGCUCGGCCCUUUUGACAUCCCUAAAUAGGGCUGACAAACUGGUUGAGCCACUCGCAGGUUUGUAGACUCAACUUUGACUCGUUUAGAGAUGAGCUAUAAAUCAAGUCAAGCUCACAUUAUUUUUCACAAGCUAGCUCAUUUGAGCUCUUAGUAUAACUCUACAAGUUACCUUAUGUAGGUUUGUGUGUCAACUUGUUUUUAUCAAUUUUUUAAAAAAUUGAUCCUUUUUUAUCUUAUUUUAAGGGCCAAAGCAACUUGACUCGGUACAUUGUCAUCCCUAUCUUCACAAGUAGAGAUUUUAAUACCUUCACACAAGAUUAUAAUUGCUCGUUUGGCAUGACUUUUGAAAAUUCAAAAGGAGUUUUAAGACUUAAAAAUUGUUUUUGGAUUCGUUUUGUUAAUUUUAUGAAAUUGUUUCUUUUAGUUAGAAGAGUUUUUAAAGGAAGUUGAUUCAAUAUAUAUUCCUCUAAAAAUACUUCCAGAAUAGAAAGCUUUAUUAAAAAUUAGUUUUUCAAACAAAAAUCAAAGCCUUGUUUGGUUCUCAGAAUAUUUUUUUCUCUUUUUUUCAACAACACAUUAUUCAUUAAAAUAAUAUUACAUGUAAAUAAAAAACUUAUCCUUAUUUUUUAACCACACAUUUUUUAUUAAUCUACUAUUCUAAAAUGCAUUUUUUCAUAAAAAUGGAAUUCAAACACCCUUUAAGGCAACUUUCUCCAAAAGUUAUUCUACAGGAAACAAAAACAAAAGUAAAAGUUAUGUCAAACGGGUAAAACUUCUUAUACACUUAUUUGAUAUGGAAAAUAAGUUGGUGAAAAUGAAGGUGAUAUCAAAUUACUCUGAUACCAAUUUAUUGAUAAAAUAUGAAAUUAUAGGCACAAUAUAAAGUAAUUGAUCAAAAUGCUGAAGAACAAUAUAAUGUACAAAGUAAAUGAGAUCAUAGUUAUUCGACUCAACCCGAAAAAAUCGUCGGGUCAACGGGGUCGACGAUUUAACCGGUAGGUUAUUGUUAGACUUUAAUUUUAAUUAUAUUAUAUUUUUGAAAUAAAAAUGAAACAAUUUUUCCGAAAUUUAAUACACACACACAUUGUUCACAUUAAUUGACUAAAGACCAUCAAUUGCCAUAAUGGUCGUGGAGGUAAAAUAUAUCCUUUGUUGUUAGGGUUCGAAUCAAAGUUCUAUCAAAUUUAACUUAAAAUUUUACUUCAAUUCAGUAACCAUUCGGUUCACUCGUUGAAUCAGAUUCGGUUGAUUAGUGGUUUAACUAAGUUCUAACCGAUUCACAUGCUUACUAGAUCAAUUAAAUCUCUCGAAUUGGAUUAAGUUCCAAUUCGGCGGUUCUCGAUUUGGACAGGUUGGUCCGAUCUGAUUUUAAUAACUAUGAAUGAGAUUAAUUAAAAUAUGGAGAAAGAAUAUAAAUACUUAUAUUUAUAUAUAAUGUCUAACUUAAUCUAAAAUACAAUUAGAGUUAAAUAUAUAUAGGAAACAUUUCAAACUCUCGAAGUAGUGUUAUAAAUGGAACAGAAUGCUCAAAACGCAAGAAUGGGCAUGGGCUAGACGAGCCACUGCUUGAGCACCAGGAAGGUGACAGGUGGGCGAUGUUGGUGUCGCUCAAGAGCCAAUCUGGCUCCAGCUUUCUGCAUGAAAUUUCAACGCCAUCGCUUGAGUGGUAGGCUCUAGUGAAAAAGCGUCGAAAAAUUUUCGUGGUCCAUAUCUUGACCUCUUCAAGACCAAUAGAAUUUCCAAAACUCCCAAUUAGGCUUUCAAAUAAAACAUCAACUAGAAAAUUCAAAUAAAUUUUGAAUAGGGUUCCAAAAUAGCAUUCCAUAUAGAAUUUUUCUUAAGUCGACUUUAAUUAUAUUUCUCAAUUAUUUUUCAAAUAGAAUUCGGGUCACACCCUAAUUUAAACAAACUCCACUUUAACAUGAAUUUCAUUGUAAUGAGUAAACUUCAAAGUUCUUCACCAAGAGACAGAUUCAAUUACAAGGAAUGAACUUCAACUUUUCAACAAAAACACAAGCGAAAUUCUCCAUAAAAAAUUUCAACUGAAAAUACUCUCCAAAACUUUGCCACCCAACCAGGGCAAAACUCAAUAACUAAGUAUUAACAAAAUUUCAAGCGAUGGGCUUGCAUAUCACCAAACAAGGCAGAAACAAGCCCUGAAACAUAAUCAUCACAAUUGAAUGAAUCAAAAUAAGGUCAUGGCUAUAAUUAACAUCCUUAACCACAUUCAAACCAUAAUCAACUGAAUCAGCAACAUUGUACCUAUGUAAAUGCUUAAGAUGAAAAUAAGCCUGUUAAUAGCAAUUGAAUACAAAUCGCAUUGUCGAUAUUGGUGGCAAAAUAUAAUUACCCAUAACUUUUGAACUCAAUUAAGAUGUAUUCUUCAAAGACCCCAAACUUGACUCCAAUUCCAAAUUAGCCUGAGUUUUUAAAAUAUGCUCAUUGAUAUGUAGAACACUACAGACAUAUAACUUGGAUUUUCUACGUCAUUUUAUCAAAACAUGGGCUCCUUUACUAACUUUCAAGACUCCACCUUCAACAGUGUAUUUGUACAAUUUUGAAACAAGAGUACUCAAGGAGAUAAAAUUUUUCUUCAAAUCUGGAACGUGUCUAACUGCGUCAAAUAUUCUAACCGUCCCAUUAAAAAUCUUUAUUCUAACCCAUCUAAUAUCAUCUCCUACAAGGUUUAUCAUUUCUUAUUACCACAAUACCUUUCGAAACUAUUUUACAUGUUAAAAAUAAAUCCUAUUUGGGACACUUGAAAAGUGCAAGAUGUAUCAAAAAUCCAAUCUUCAUCAGUUUUGGAGUCAUAGUCAGAAUUAAGUAAAAGUUCCCCAUCACUAUGACAACUUUCUGCAAUUUUGGCUUCUUCUAAACUUUCUAAAUGCUGAUUUGCAGCCAAUUUUUCUUCAUUCGGCAAUUUAUAACAAUUAUUCAUCAGGUGUCAUUUUUCUUGCAAUAAUUACAAAAUUUGAAGUUAGACUUUAAUUUGCCCCUUGUAUAACUACUAUCAACAACGAGGCCAUUUCCAUGAACCUUAGAUCCAACAAAAUGCUUUCAUCUUCUUGUUGAAUAUAGAGUAUCAUAGAAUUUUUCAAUGGUGAGAGUAUAAUGACUAUAUAAGAUCAUGUUUUCGAAAGAUAUAUAUGAUGGGGACAACAAACACAAUAAAAUCAAACCCGAAUUCUCUUUAUCAUAUUUAACCUCCAAGGUUUCGAAAUCAGCGAUUAUUCUUAGAAAUAGUUGGGUGAUCUUCAAGGAAUGUACUUUCUGUCAUAUGAUAACAUAGACGCUGCUUCAGAUGCAAUUUGCUUCUUAGACUCUUCAUCAUGUAUAAUUGCUCCGAUUUCAACCAUAAUGCAGUGGCUGACUUCUCAUUCAAAACACCCUGAAGAAUAUUAUUUGAAAGAUGAAGAUGAAUCUGAGAUAGGGCCUUUCGAUUCCUCUGUUGUUUCUCCUCCUUCGUCCAAAUUGUGGGUAUCUUAUCAAAGCCCAACGACUCAUUGCCCAAAUCUAUUUGAGCGAGUACUACUCGCAUUUUAACCUACUACAAUGAGAAUCUUGUGAUGCCAUUCAAAAGUGAAAUAUCGUACUCGUGGUUGCCAUCACAAAAGAUCAAGUCGAGCCCCUAACUUCAUCAAAAUCUCAAUCUCCCGAGAAUUUUGAAGCCUGACUCUGAUAUCAAUUUGUUGAAAAUAAAGAUGAUAUUAGAUUACUCUAAUACCAAUUUAUUGAAGAAAAUAUGAGACUAUACGCAUAAUAUAGAGUAAUUAAUCACAAACACUCGAGAACAAUAUAAUUUACAGGGUAAAAAUGAUUUAGUAAAAUAUGGAGAAAGAAUACAAAGACUCGUGUUUAUAAAUAAUGUCUAACUUAAUCUAAAAUACAAUGAAAAGCUAAAUAUAUAUAAAAGAUGUUUCAAAUCUAGGAGUAGAGUUAUAGAUAGAAAUGAAUGUUCAAGACGCGCCAAAAAAUGAAAACGGGCCUGGGUCGCACGAGUCACGGCUCAAGCACCAGAAGGGUGCCAAGUGAACGACGUUGUCAUAGCUCGAACGCUAGUUUGGCGCCAAGCUAGGCACCGACUUUCUGUACAAGAUUUUGACAGUGUCACUCAAACGGUAGGCUAGCGAUCAGCUUGCAAAAAAAACAUUGAAAAUUUCUCCUUGGUCCAUACCUUGACUCUUCAAAUCUAACACAAACUUCAAACUCCCAACUAGGCUUCCAAAUAAAAUUUCAAUUAGAAUUUGUCAAAUAGGAUUCCAAAAUAGCAUUCUAAAGAGAAUUCUUUUUUAAGUCGACUUUAAUAGAAGUCUCAAUCAUCUUCCAAAUAGAAUUCGAAUCACACCCUAAUUCUACAUAAGUAAAGAAAAUGAAGAAAAAAAAUGUUGGUCAUAAUUAUUUAUGGAAAUUAGCAAAAUAAAGAGUGACAUAUAGUGUAUUGUAUAAUUCAGUCACUAUUUUUAAAAAAAUUAAGAUAUUCUUUAUAUUACAAAAUAUGAGAGCAUGAUCAGAGAUGUUCUAAUGAUGUUCUCCCUGAUUCAUUAUUUAUUUCUAUUUUUAUCAGUUUUUACAUGAUUUCACAAUUACGUUCGUACUUGAAUUGUUUGGAAUAUUUUGUUUCAACCUCCAUUUCGCAAUCAACUCAUAAACGAUAUAUAAAAUUAGUGAAAAUUAAAAUUUCAUAACCAUAUUCAUAAUUACUAUUCACACACUCACGAGACUCUCCAUUAUCUUUAUAAAUUGACUCAUGAGGCACAUAGUUACAGCUUGAGGCACUGAGGUUGAUGCAGUAAAGGAAGAUCACCAAUUGGUUUUGACCGACUAAAGUAGGAGAGGUCCACAUGUUUUUAAGAUUGGUUGGUUGUUAAAGAAGAAUUAUUGAAAGGUUUGCAAAAAAUGGUUGUACCAAUAAGCCAGUUAACAAAGAUGAAUUUCAAGUUUUAGUAGACUAAUAAGUGCUAGCAAAGCUUAAUGUAUGCUCUAGUACUAACUAUUGUACAAGGAAUGUAAAGGUUUUCUUUAUUUACCUUAACGCAUCGAAGCAAGGCUUGGCAUGCGGCACGACAAGGUUGUUGCUUAUGUGCCUUGAUAAAUAAAACAUUAUAAGCAUAAUUAUCUAACCCAUUUUUUAGAAUUGGUAGCAGUGGCAGUAGUGAUCCAUGCACUAAAGACUUGGAGACUAUCACCAUGGAGGCAUUAUCUAAAAUGAGUUAAAUAUGAGGCAAUGUGGCUCGAGCCAAUCAAUGACCACGAGUGUGCAUUUCACUAUCAUCUCAAGAAAGCUAAUGUAGUUGCUAUAGCACUGAUGAGAAAGAUAGUAGGACAAGAGGCAGUCUUACGUACUAUUUAGAAGUAGUUAUUGAGAGACAAACAAUCUCGGAAUUUCAGCACUCUUGGUAAAACAUACUUUAUGGCUUGCAUCAUGGAGUCUCGGAAGAAGAGAGCCAAACUUACAAUGUAUUGAAGAAGAAAUCGACACUCUGAAAAGGGCUGACCCUUAAAUUUUGGAUUCCCGGUAUGACAUUUUAAAAUGCUAUCCCUUUCGUGUAAUUAAAAACAUAUAUUAAGGAAAAAAAUAUUUCAAUAAUAUUAUUUCAUUGUAAAAAUAUAACAUUUAAAUAUUUGCUUCUUUUUUUUUUUACAUGUCAUGAAUAAAAAAAAGUACAAGUAAAGUUCAAAAGCAACGCCCAACUUCAUCAAAAUAUAUAUGUCAUCUACAAAGAACUGUCUAAGCCACUAACCUCUUCGUGCAAUUUCAUACGAGCAAAUCUUGAAAUAAAAAAUAGCGAAUACCAUUUUUAAGCCUUAAAAUGCAACAAAUCAUGUAAAAAUAUUUCUUCUUGCAUUUCUAGAAGCAAAUUAACCUACUAAUUAAACUUUCGUAGUCAAUAUAUUUUAGCAAACCUUGUUCAAUAGAUAGCUGGCUCAUUCAAUUAUUCUUGUAAUAUGGUUGAUCGCAAAUAAGAUUUUAAUAACUUCAAUUUUGAAAAACUUCUUUUGACAUAUGCAACAGUAAUAUGAAUUAUCUAUGGAAUUCUAUAAGCAAUAAAUGUAUUUGGAAAGCAAUCCGAUUUUUUCAAAUAAGUCAAUAUAUCAAAAGUUUUCUUUAUUUCUUUGGAUUAAAGAUAUUGCAAAAUUUUUAACUUUUAAAACAAAUCUUUGUCAUCAAGUUUGCAAAAAAUUGCAUGUCAUAGAACAAUGUCAAUAUGAUCACUAGCUAUCUCUUGAUUUUAUGUCACGAUUAUCCCAAAUUCUUGUAUAAUAGAUGUUGAAAGGAGUGGACGUAUUAUGAAUUAAACCAUCUACAUCUUCGUUAUUAUCAUUUAUGUUAGGAGAUUCAUCAUCAACAUCUUCACAUAUCUUUUCUUAGAAAUUUUAUCAUCAACAUUGUCAUUUUCAUUUUGUCUUAAUUCCUCAGCAUCUUCAUUUUCAUCAUUUUCACUUUUACUAGUUCCAAGUACUUGGUCCAUAUUUUUCGCUUCUUUAAAAAUAAAUCUAUGAAGAGCGCCUUUUUGAGACUCUAUCAACUCCUCAAUUUUUCUCUUUUUCAUUUGUUUUCCGAAUUUUGAUUGUUGUUUUUGAGGAUACAUUUUAAAAUUUUAUUUUAUGGUAACAAUAAAAAUUAUAAUAAAAGUAUAUAAAGUUCAAAAGAGAUUUGAAAAAAAAAGGAAAAAAAAAAAAGAUAGCACCUAAUUAAAGAUCGAACUGGCAAAAGCUUUAUAAGCUUAAUUAAAGCUAUCUUGAAUCUUCAAAAACCUAAGUACCACCAAUCAAAUGGAAGUGUAGAAGAAUUAGGAAUUAUAAGAAAUAAAAUAAUAUUAAAUAAGAGACAUUAUUUGUUUAUUUGUCUUAUCACUUAUCCUUUCAGAACAAAAAAUAUGAAAUAGUAAUUAACGAGUGGACAACCAACACCAAUAGAAAGACGAUGUUACGAGAUUGUAUUAUUGUAUAGCAAGCAACAAAGACGAAUGGUAGAGUUUCUUCUCUUGUCUAUUUGAUGAUUUUUCGUGGGUUAAAGCGUGGAAGAGAGAGAAAUGACGAAAAAGGAUGCUAGGUUAGUUUUUCACUCUUCACUUUAAUCACUUGAAUCUUUGACUGUUUAUUGUCUUGUUGGAUCAGUAAUUGGUAGGACUAGUAAAAUAGAUAGUUUCAUUUCAUUUUUUUUUGGAAAAUAAGAUAGUUAAAACUUGAAAAAUAAUUUUUUUAAUAAUAUGUUAAAUUAAAAAAUAUUAAUAUAAAUAUUUGUACUCUUUUUUAUAAAUAUUUUGUCCUUUAACUUAACAUAAUAAUAAUUUAAAAUUUUAAAAUUAAUAAAACAUUUUAAAUAUGUAAUUAUAACAAGAAUGUUUUGGUGCCCUUACAAUGACGCCGCCUUAUGCAACCGCUCAACUUUUGCCUCUGACUGUGAAAUGGAAGGAUUACAUGAGCUUGUUCAAUAGUGAUUUUGAGAAUUAAUUUUUUGACAGUUAGAGAGAAAAGUGGGUCUUACCUGUGAGAGAAGAAGUAAAAAAUGACCACUGAAAUAAUAAAAUAACGAUUAAAAAAUAAUUUUUUGGGGAGAAAAAUUAAUAUCAAACAUGCACAUCUCGAGACAAAGCCUUGUACUUUAUAUGCAAAUUAUAUGUGACCGAUCAAAAGGAUCUAAAGAAAGCAAGUUUGGGGGCAGCUCACAACAGUCAGAGUACCAACAUUCGAAGAUCAUUUUUCUUGUUUGGUGAUCUUAAUGCUAAUUAACGAUUUUUAUCAAAGUCUUGAAGAUAACAUUUAUGUUGAUGGAGGCUUGGCAAGAGAUCAGUAAAGCUUUAGGAAUUUUUGAGGUCAUCACCUGUUAUGUCUCACUAACGUAUCAAAGUAGGUCUAGGCAUUUUAAUCGAAACCAAAACUCUCGAACCGAAACAGAACGGGAAUAGAAGGUUUCGGUCCGGUUCCCCGAAAAAAUAAAUUAGGAAAUGGAAUGAGGGUUCGAUUCGGUUCUUGGUUCCUAAAUCAGAAUCGUGGGUACUCGAAUGAACCAAUUUUUAUAAAAAAAAAAAUUAUUUAAAAUUUAUUGGUUGGAAAAAACAUAUAAAACCUAGAGAUCCUAAUUUUGGUAAUAACUAGUCUAAAACUUUAAACUCCAACCUAAAAUAAUAAGAUUGAUUCUUACUUUUUUACAUUUCACCUUACAUCAGAAUGUUGUAUCUCGGAGGUUAUGAUAUGUUAAUAUUUACAAUUUGAGCUUUUUAUAAAUAAAAAAUUUCAAAUAGAUUAUAAUAUAAGUUCAUGAAUCAAAGCGUUCAUUCUUUUGCAAUCCAAGCUUUUUACUUUCUUGUAUCAUUAAUAAAUUUAACUGAUUUUUUAAUUAUUUCAUGAUGCGUGGUAAUUGAAUUUGAUAUAUUCAUUGCUCAUGUCGUGUUGUACCUUUUUGUUAUCUUGAGUUCGUGAUUCUCUUUUUAAAUAUUUAUUUUUUAUUCAAAAAGGGUAAGUUCAAUAUGUAGACAGUAAUUUUUUGAUACUAUAUUAACUAUUUAUUUAUUUAUUUAUUUAUAUCAGUUGGUUUUACAAGUAGAAGAAUUCAAGCAUUGUUCAUAAUUAAAUUACAUGCCUAGUAUGCAUCUCUUAGAGAUCGAAUAAGAUUUAUUAAGAAAAGUGAUUUUCCUCAAAUUAUAAUUUCAUUUUUUAUUUUUAUUUUUCUCCUAUUUUCGUGACUUUUAGUAUCCAAUAUUUUGCUUUUUGAAGAUUUUUUAACUGGAUUUUCUCCAUUGCACAUAUAUUUUCAAGUAGCAGCGUAUUAUGUAUAUGUACAAGGGGUUUAUGUGAAAUAUUUAUUAAAUAAAUGUAUAUAAAAAUGUUAUGGGUAGAACUGAAAUUGAAUCGGAGCCUACGAUUUGGGUUUGAGUUUGGUUCCAGUAUUUACAAAGAUCGGAAUGGUUUCAUUUGCGAAAUACCCAAAACAUAAUGGGUGAUUCUGGGUAUUUCAAUGCCCGGACCGACCCACCUGAUGCCCAGGCCUAUAUCAAAGGCACAAAAUACACUCCGAUGUUUUCGACCCCUCAUCUCGUGCAAAAAGUACCAAUAAUGUCCUUGAAGGUCGUGCAAACUAGACCAAAUUCGGAAAAUAGCAAGCGAGAAAUAUCGUAAGUUUCCUCUAAUCGCUCGCAGGUGCAAGCCAUUAGUAGUGUUUGUUUGCUCAAUCGAGCAAACUCAAAUUGUAUGCCGUUUCUUUCCUUUUGUGCCCUCUCAUUUUAGCAUGUCGUCUUGCCUUGCUCCUACUUGCAAGCAAAGUCAGUAGCAUUGCUUCCCUUCUUCUUAUUCUCUCUUGCAGAAUAAGAAAUCCAUCAAGCCCAACAAAUACACAGCAUCAGUAACAAAUCUGUCAUGUGGCCCAUUUUCACCAGCAGCUGGCCAUCUAAGUCCUGAUAUGCAAAAGACAAUUUCUGAUACACAAGACUAGCUAUCUACUGCAAUUAUAACAGAAUAAUGUGAUGUGUAAUUUUUUCUUUUGCUGCAUGUAUAGAGUUGGUUAGGUUGGAAUAUUCCUUUUGUCUCCUCUAUGUGUAUAUAACGUAAGGUGCCUCUUGUGUAUAAUUCAAUUUUUCAGUAAGUUGAUGAAUAUAGAAUGAGAAUUUCUCUUCAAUCAUUUCAGUUCAUUUCCUAAUUCAGUGUUUUACAUUUCAUCAUUUUCCCAAAUUUACAUGGUAUCAGAGCUUUAAUGGCGGCUCUUGAGAAUACAUCUUCACCUCCUAUUGAAACUCCUCUCGAGAAUACAUCUUCUUUCCUUCAAUCAAAGACCAACCAACAUACCAAUUUUGCAGACCCACUUAAUCCUUUUUCGCCUUGAAACAUCAGAUAACCCAGGAGCAAAUCUUGUUUCUGAUCUGUUAACUACAAACAAUUAUGAAACCUGGUCACGCUCGAUGCAGCGUGCUCUUAGAGCCAAGAACAAGCUUGGCUUCAUCAAUGGAAAAAUUUCCAAACCUCUCAAUCCGACAGAUGAUCUGUUUGAAGCUUGGGCAAGGUGCAAUGACAUGGUAAUUUCUUAGAUUCAUAAUGCUAUCAGUCCAGAACUUCGGUCUAGUGUUGCCUUCAUGGAUGAUGCCUCUGGGAUUUGGAAUGAAUUGGCUGAACGCUUUUCUCUGCAGAAUGCUCCACGUAUUUACCAACUCAAAAGAGCACUGGUCAAUUUGUCUCAAGAGGGAGAUUUUGUUAGUGUUUAUUAUGGUAAACUAAAAGGUAUUUGGGAUGAACUUGCUAUUUAUGACCCAAUUCCAGAUUGUCAUUGUGGAAAGAAAGCUUAAGGUAUUGGUUGAUAGAUAUCAUAGAGACUGCACUUUUCAAUUUUUGAUGGGCCUAAAUGAUGUUUAUGAACAUACCCGAGACCAAAUCAUGCUUAUUGAGCCACUUUCCCAUGUCGAUAAAGUCUUUUCGUAUGUUCAACAGAAGGAAAGGCAACGACAAACUACCUCCACUCUUGCUGGUUCUGACUCUGUUGCCUUUUACACCAGAAACACCAAUCCCAAUUUUAAACCUCAAAACCCACAAAAUACUGAUCCCAAUAAGGAAAGGCCAUACUGCAAAUUCUGUAAAAUCCCUGGUCAUCAUUUUGAAAAGUGUUUUAAAGCUAGUAAUGCAGAGGCACCAAUUUGCAGCCAUUGCAAUAUGACAGGACACAUGGUAGACAGAUGUUAUAAGUUACAUGGCUACCCAGCGAGUCAUAAAAUGCACAACAAGUCUAAGGGAACUGGAAAAUUUGCUAAUCAUGUUUCUGUUCAGAGCAUGGACAUUAAUGGGGAGGAUAAUUGUGAUAGCGUUUCUUUGACCAAAGAUCAAUAGAAUGACCUCAUGGCUUUGUUCAAACACAAGGACUCUCCUACAACUUCACAUGUGGCUAACCAGAUUCAAUCUCUGCUUCCUACUAGUUCUUCUAACUCUCAAUCCACUCCUAUGUCUGGACCUUGCAUCCUGGACAACGAUUGGGAAGGGUAGGAUGGAGCGUGGCUUGUACUACCUACAGCUUGACGAGAUCUCCCCUAAAGCUCUCCAACAUGCCGUCUCUCGACUUUCUUGCAAUUUAAAUUUCUCUUCAGCUUUUGUAAUCAACAAACUCACUGAGCAUGAGUUAUGGCACUAUCGCUUAGGCCAUAUUGCAGAUGCUAGACUCGGGCUUAUAAAAGACUCGUUUGUAACUGCAUCUUUAAACUUGAAGUCACAAACUUCUCUUCCUUGCUCUAACUAUUAUUUGGCUAGGCAACACAAAUCUUCUUUUUCCUUAAGUGAGCACAAAUCAGUUAAUUUGUUUGAAUUAAUUCACUGUGACUUGUGGGGGCCCUAUUCUGUCACUUCACAUGAUGGUUCUUCAUAUUUCUUAUCCAUCAUUGAUGACUUGUCACGUAGUACAUGGGUAUACAUGCUCAAACACAAAUCAGACACUAAGAAAUGCCUUGUGUCUUUUACCAACCUAGUUAAAAAUCAAUUUGGAACUAGAAUAAAAAUACUUCUGAGUGACAAUGGAACAGAGUUUCACCUUAAUGAUUUUUACUCCCAAAAGGGAAUCAUUCAUCAAAAAACGUGUGUCGAAACCCCACAACAAAAUGGAGUCGCUGAAAGAAAAAAUCAGCAUUUGCUUAAUGUAGCACGAGCCUUAUUGUUCCAAUCUGGUGUUCCUGUCAAAUUUUGGUCAGAAUGUAUCCUCACAGCUACUUACAUCAUAAAUCGUACUCCUACUCCAUUAUUGCACAACAAGAGCCCUUUUGAAAUUUUGUUUGGCGUCAAGCCUCAAUACAACCACAUGAAAGUGUUUGGUUGUUUAACUUUUGCUUCUACUCUCUCACAAGGCCGCAAGAAAUUCGAUCCUAGGAGCAGACCUUCCUUUUUUAUUGGUUAUCCUUUCGGCGUCAAAGGUUACAAGUUACUUGAUUUACAAUCUCACACCAUCUUUAUCUCUCGCAAUGUCAUUUUUCAUGAAACGGCGUUCCCUCUUAAGUCUUCUACACCUAUUCCUUCACAUCAAUCUUUCCCUAAUCAACAUGUUAUCACAAAUCCUAUACCAGACAAUUCUUCAUUUUCUCUUUCUCCACCUACUUCUAUUACCUCCACUCAAUCUCCCAUAAUUCACUCAACCGAUUCCCCUGCACCUCACUCUUCCGAUUCUCCCAUUUCUCACUCCAGUCCUACAUCUUCUCCGCAAACAACAUCUUCACCUGUUAGGCUUGUUGAACCAUCUCUUCGCAGAUCAUGUAGGACUAGAAAUGCUCCUCAAUAUUUACAAGAUUUUCAUUGUAAGCAAGCUGUUUCUACAUAACCUGUACGAGCCACUUCCACCACUUCUUCUCCUUCACUGUCAAGGGUCAAGGGACAAAUUUCAGUGAAGCUGUAAGGAGUCCCCAUUGGGUUAAAGCUAUGGAUAAUGAGUUGAUGGCUCUUGAAAUCAAUAACACUUGGACACUCACUGAUUUACCGCCUGGCAAGGAGGCAGUGGGUUGUAGGUGGGUUUACAAAAUCAAAUAUCAUGCUGAUUGUAGUGUCGAGAGAUAUAAAGCGAGGUUGGUAGCUAAGAGAUUUACACAACAAGAAGGAAUAGAUUAUCAUGAAACAUUUUCCCCCGUAGCUAAGUUGGUUACCAUUAGAUCUCUUUUGGCCAUUGUAGCCAUUAAGGGGUGGCACUUGUAUCAAUUCGAUGUUAACAAUGCCUUUCUCCAUGGAGAUUUAGAUGAGGAAGUGUAUAUGAAGAGACCACCAGGCUACGCUAAAGGAGAACACAAACAAGUUUGCAGGUUGAAUAAAAGUCUUUAUGGCUUGAAACAAGUCUCGAGACAAUGGUAUGCAAAAUUUUCCAGUCUAUUGAUUCAAUUUGGUUAUAUCCAAUCAAAGGCAGAUUACAGCCUCUUCACUCAAAUUAAAGACUCUACAUUCACUGCUCUCUUAGUUUAUGUAGAUGACAUUAUCGUGGCAAGUACUUCUAUGAACUCUAUUCAUGCUUUACAAGCCUUUCUAAGUGAUCAGUUUCAAAUUAAAACACUUGGCGCUCUUAAAUAUUUUCUUGGCAUAGAAGUGGCUCGAUCAGAUCAAGGAAUACAUAUUUUUCAAAGAAAAUAUGCUCUUGACAUCCUAGCUAACUCGGGUGCCCUUGGUGUUAAGCCUUUGAAGCUUCCAAUGGACCCUAAUUUGAAUCUGAGCAAAACCACAGAGGAGUCUCUUACAGAUCCUUCUAUGUAUCGCAGGUUGGUAGGGCGUUUGCUCUAUCUUACUAUCACCAGACCGGACUUGAGUUAUGCAGUCCACAACUUGAGUCAAUUCAUGGAUUCACCAAGGCUUCCACAUCUUCAAGUUGCGAACAACAUUUUGCGCUAUUUGAAGAAUGCUCCUGGCCAAGGGAUUUUAUUUCCCUCUUCAUCUUCACUGACUUUACAAGCCUUCUGUGAUUCUAGUUGGACCUCAUGUCCUGACUCUAGAAGAUCAGUGACAGGUUAUUGCAUUCUCCUAGGACAGUCCUUAAUCUCAUGGCGCUCAAAGAAACAGACCAUUGUAUCUCGAUCAUCUGCAGAAGCCGAGUACAGAGCCAUGGCUAGCACUUGUUGUGAGAUCACUUGGCUAAAAUAUCUUCUUCUUGAUCUCCAGAUUCCUCAUAUCCAACCAGUUGUGUUACAUUGCGACAACCAAGCUGCCUUACAUAUUGCAGCCAACUCGGUGUUUCAUGAACGCACAAAACACAUUGAAUUGGACUGUCAUCUUGUACGAGAUAAAAUUCAAGAAGGCUCUAUCAUCACUAAACAUGUUAGAACACAAUUUCAACUUGCAGACUUGCUUACCAAAGCUUUACCUUCCUCUCUUCUCUUUGCUUAUAUGUCCAAGAUGGGAAUAGUUAACAUCUAUUCUCCAUCUUGCCGGGGGCUCUUGCAGAAUAAGAAAUCCAUCAAGCCCAACAGAUACACAGCAUCAGUAACAAAUCUGUCAUGUGGUCCAUUUUCACCAGCAGCUGCCCAUCUAAGCCCAGAUAUGCAGAAGACAAUUUUUGAUACACAAGACUAGCUAUCUACUGCAAUUAUGACAGAAUAGUGUGAUGUGUAAUUUUUUCUUUUGCUGCAUGUAUAGAGUUGGUUAGGUUGGAAUAUUCUUUUUGUCUCGUCUAUGUGUAUAUAACGUAAGGUGUGUAUAAUUAAUUUUUCAGCAAGUUGAUAAAUAUAGAAUGAGAAUUUCUCUUCAAUCAUUUCUGUUCAUUUCCUGAUUCUGUGUUUUACAUUUCAUCAUUUUCCAAAAUUUACAUAUAUGUAUGAUAAUUAAAUAUUUGAUUUUAUUUUAUUAAUCUUUGAAGCUACAGUAUCCAUAUUUUCAAUGAUAUGCAAAAUCAAGGAUAAAAGAAACAUAAGGUUUAUUUAUUACUGAAUUAAUGUAUAUUAUAUAAAUCUCGCACAAGCAAUUUUUCUGGAAUUGUAUAUUAUGUAAAUGCCACCGAAAGCUAUUUUCUAGAAUUGUAAGGAAACACGAAAUUAGAAGGAGAAGUCCAUAAAAAUAUAACUUGCUGCUAGUGCCUCAAAAUUUGAAGUUCAGCGAUAAUUUUACGUAUGUUCAUUUCAUAACUUCUGCACAUCGUAAUUCAUGUGAUGAAAUCAUACAAAUGGUCAUUUUAUUUUACAUCAUAGCCAACAAAUAUGAAAUUGAUUUGACAAAUAAAAUAUAUUUCAAAUUCCACAUGCAGAUGGAUUCAUAACAUAAAGGAAUAAAUUUUAGACAUGUUACACUGAAUUUAAUUUAUUAUCUUUAUUAGAUCCAGUUACAAUAGCAACACUUAAUCAUUCACUAACCAAGGACCCCUUCUAACUUGAGAAAAGAAGUGAGUAUACGAGAAUACUCAAUAGGACACGAGUAUUACAUAGUCCCAAAUAAAAAUAUAAACUCUUGCAUCAAAAUAAUAAUAACGUAUAUCGUAUCUUUAAAAAUCUGAUAAAAGCUUACAUCAUAUCAUAUCGCGUAAAUUCAUCGGCAUAAUCUUUAUUAACAAGAAGUAAUAAAAUUAAAUGGAACAAAUCACUUGCACCUCAAAAUCCUACCUUGAUUGAUAAAAAGAGGUUUUUUUUUUUUUUUAAAUUUAAAAAAGGCAAUAGUUUUACGAUUUAAGAGGGUUUUUGAGCCCCAAUUUUAUGAAAAGUGUAUUUUAUAAUAGUAGAUUAAUGGAAAAUGUGUAGUUGAAAAAUAUGAAAAAGAUUUUUAUUUACUUGUAAUAUUAUUUUAAUGAAUAAUGCAUGAUUGAAAAGAAGAGAGAGAAAAAUAUAUUUUUAGAGAAUAAAUAUCAAACAAGAUGUAAGACUUUUCUCCGAUAUAGUGCGUGUAUAUCCAACUUUUAUUCCGAACUUGAAAUAUUUAUUUAAGGUAGACAAAAAUUCUUUACUUGUAUACUAUCAAUGAUAUUUGUAUUACAACAUAAAGCCACGUGUUUUUCCACGUAAGUGGCUCAAUUUAUUGGUUUGUCUUUUGAUGAGUACGUUUCUUCAAUUCAUUUCAAACUCAAACAAGAUAGUUUACCUAAUUUUAAACCAAGGACAGCUGAUAUAUUGAUAGCACAAUGUCAUGAUUUCUGUGUAUUAUGCCAAGAAAAUUGGCCAUAAUAUAUUAUAUAAUAGUUCAUUCAAACCUUUGAAAUUAUUAUUAAUUUUUUUUUCCCUUUCAAGUGUAAUCUACACAUCAAAAACAAAUCAUAGCCAACUAAAAAGGUAUUUCUCCAUUUCAACCAGAAGUACAUGUGGCUGAAUUGGAAAGAUUUUUGAAUCAAUAUUAACUGAAUUAAUUAAGAGUUAAGGUAAUAUCAUUCAACCUCAAUAUCAUGGACAUAACUUAUUUGAAAUAAUUAUUUCUCGAGUUCAAGGUGGUUUAUUUAAUACAAGCUACAUAAUGAACCCAAAAAUUGUAUAUUAAUUCUAGCUCUAUCUUUUCAAUUGAUUUGUCAAUCUUUGAGAUCGAAAUGUUCCGAAUGUUCCUUGAAAUUCUUGCUCCCAACUAGUACAUUCCAAAAUCACCGUUACUCAUGCAUCUUUCCCCCUAGCCAUGAUGGAACGAUAUUGGAUCAAAUGACAAAGGAGGGGACUUUCUCUCCCUAGUCAAGGCAUUCAGUCUUUCCAAGCUCAAAAUUUUGUAGUAUAGUCUUGCUAGAAAGACAACACGUUAGCUGUAAUGCCCUCGACUGAUUCUAAGGUUCAGGAAAGGAUGCUUUUAACAUCAACUUUUGAAGUUACGAGCUGGAGGAAGUCUUCUUUUAUUAAAGGUCAAACCCCAACCUUGAGGGCCCCCAUCGCCCCGCCCCUAAAGCUUUGUGAGGGAGAUAAAUCGCGGGAUGUACUCCAACAGGUCAGAGAACAAGAGCUGUCUGUACACUGCACCUACAAGGAGUCCAAUUCAAUGUCUUAGGAAUAGAACCCCCACACUGUAGCUGCGAGCAAGAUUUGAGAUAACCUCACUCCUAUCGUUUGCAUCACUGGGCUAUGCCCGGGGGGCAAGUCUUCUUUUAUUUCUCAACACUGAAGUAAGGAAUUCAUGGGCUAUUUGUCCCCCAAUUAACACCUAUGAAGGCCUUACGUGGGCAUAGCUUCACCGCUGGCCCCUUUUGGUCCCCAACCACCCUACAUGUACAGGGUUAUUUUUGCCAAAUAUUUUACAGGUAUUCACAUUAGUGGGGGCCGCGUUAAUUUUUUAUUUUUUUUAUACAUGUAGGGCCCUCGCUACAGUGAGGGCCCCUGUAUAAACCCUGUAGAAAAAGCCCUGUACAAUGGGCUUUUUCCUUUGGUCCCAAAUCUUUGGGGUUGAUUUUAUAUAUAUAGCAUUGAAAACAGUUAAUUCUUCACACACAAGACAACCUGGUUUCCAGCAAAAAAAUGUGUUUUCUUCUCCUAGCCAUUCUCUCUCUCAAAAAGUUUUUCUCUCACAUCUUCUUUCAUUCAAGGUUGGAUACAUUAGUCUCUUUCUUGAAUUUAAUGUAUUUCGUGAUAUUGUGUUUUGGUUUAGGAUGUUGGAAUUCCAAAUUACACAGGAAUGUUUGGUGAAUCCCCCUAUGCUCCUCUAGAAUUGGAAGAUUUCCCAGAAGUAAAUUUACCUGAAAUUACAAAGCUGUCCAAAUCUGAAACACUUGGCGAAUUCGACAGAUAUAAGGAGUACGUAAAUGGGUUCACGGCGUUGGAAGAAAUUUAUACUUUAUGUUCUACACAUGAGAACUCGAGCAAAUCAAAUUUUGCAUGUUAAUUAAAAUCUAUUAGAUGCGCCUAAUUAUUGUGUUACCGAGGAUAUAAUCUUUAUAAAGGGAUUAUUUUUUAUUUUUUUAUUUUUUUGAGUUUCUUUGUUAUAAAUGAGGGCGGUUUUUUUAUUUUUUAUUUUUAUUUUUAUUUUUGCAAAGCAUUGGGCGAUUGGUUAAUAAUUUUUUCUAAUUUUAAAGUGUAUUUUUUCCCAUAAGAUAGUCAUUUUUUUUAAAAGAUAAAUAUAUUGAUUGUAACUUAAAUAUAAACUCUAGGUUAAUAUAAUUCCAUGUCUUUCAAAAAAUAUAUAUACACUCGAAUGAUCUAAUAAGCACCGGUAUUCAUAUUAUGUUUAGCAUCGAUGAUGCAUCUAUAAACAUGUUGGUUGAUAACUUGAUGGUGGGACCUCAACAUUUGAAUUAAAUUGAAAAUUCGUUAAUGAAUUUAUAUGACACGUCACCGAAUGUAUAUGAUUUAAUAAGCAAGGUGUUCAUCAUAUAUUAAGUACCAAUGAUGUGUCUAUAAUGUACAAAUUCAACAAUGAAAUUAGGGGAUUCCUAGAUCAAAAUCUAUGAUGUGCUAUAUAUCUAUUAAUAAAUUUUUUGUGUUGUUAAAGAAAAAUGUAAUCGGUGAGUUGGUUGGAUAUUGAUAGAUUACAUCUAUGUUUGUCUUCCAUUAAAAAUAAAUUUUUUGAGGAAAAUAAGUUUUUAAAUAGUGAUUUUUUGAAUAGUGUGUGGUUAAAAAGUAAGAAAAGAUUUUGAUUUUUCGAGCAAAACAUUUUAUUUUAUCGACAUAUGGUUGAAAAUGAGUUUGAGAAGAAGAGAGUUUUGAUUUAAUGGAAAAAAUAAGGACUAAGUAAAUAAGAUUUUUACUCGACAUUAUAGAAAUGUGAUACAUGCUAAACAUCUCUAGAAUUAUCUUAGUGAAAAUAAUAUUAUGAUGUAAUAGCAUACCGAAAAAGAGAUUAUUCAAGAAGUACCGAAUACUUCUAUUGAGAAUGACCAGGAUUUAGCUAAUAGCAGUGAUACAUCGAUUGUGUCUCCAAGUGAAGCAAUGCAAGCAUUGCAAUCAUAAAUACUUACUUUCUUACAUGCAUAUUUUUGGUGAAAAAAAAACAAACCAACAGCAAAAAGUAGAAAUUUUCAAUUAAGAAGUUGCUUAAUAUGUAUUUAACCAAAUAAUAUUUUAUAUUUCCAUUGGGCCCUAAAUGAUUUUAAAUAAAAUUCUUAUCUUAUGCAUUUAGCGAGAUAAAGAAUUUAGUAUACUGUUUCGAGUUAAGAUAAAAAAAAUUUAUUAUUUAAGUUAGAUUAUUAAUUUAUCGAAUAUUUAUUUAUUGAAGAUUUACAGAAUUUUUCAAAGGUUGAUCAUUCAGAAAAGUUGAAUGUGGAUGAAAGUGCAAAUGACCCUAAAGGUUGGGAGGUUUAGUGUAAUUUACCCAAAUGAAUAUAUGCUCAAAGUUGGGGUGAUCUCAGGCAUUUUUUUUUCACCUAUUGACAUAUUCAAUCCAAAAAAACCUCGAGGCCCUGUUUGGUUAACUUUAUUUUUCUAUCCAAAUUCUUAUUUUUGGGGUGUGUAUUUGACAAAUUUUUUCGUGAAAAAUAUUUUUCAACGUAUGAUCAUGUGAUCAUAUUUUCCUAAAAAAAAUAAGAAAAACAUUUUGUUAAGGGAAAUGGGAUUUUUAUUUUUUAAGCAAAUUCUUGCUCUCAUUUAUUCCUCCUCUCAUCUAUUUAACAAUAAAAAAAUGGAUAAGUAUAAUAUUUUUUUAGGUUCAAAACUAUCAAUCAAAUGCAUUUAAUUAAUAAUUUUCAUAUAAAUAAAUUUUAAGGAAUUGAAUUGCUAGAAUUUUUUUUUCUUUUCAUACAAAUUCAAUACACACAAACGCACCUGAUUGGAAUUGGGACUAUGCUUGAUGCACAUCGGAGCGUACAUCAAGGUAUCCAGCCCCUCAUAUGGAGGGGAUACACUCCGAAUAAUUGUAAAUAUCUUAAUGAAUAUUUCUUGAUGUGCAAGUGGAAUAAUCUUUGAACUGGAUCCGAAUUGCACGGGUUUCUUCGUCUGUAUGCUAUCAAACUAAGUGUAAAGGAUGUGUUGUACGCUUAGCAUUCUUUCUCUGCCUUAAAAUUCGUUUGGGAAUGAUUUUAAGAAUUAAUUUUGUGAUCGUUAGGAAAAAAGUGGAGUCACCUGUAACAAAAUAAGUCAAAUUUUACAGCUAAAAUAGUUAAAUAAUACCAAAAAAUUAAUUUUUUGAAAUGAAAAAUCCGUUCUAAACAAGCUCUUAUUUUUCUAGAGAGACGAAUUGGGAUUGGUCUGCCUGCCGCCCUUGUAAUGAAAAAACUGGGAAGAAAGUUCGAAGUCAAAUUAGAAGAAAGAGCGUGAGAUAUAUACCAAACCUCAUAAAUUUCCGUCUCUCUCUAUUACUUUUAAAACCCAUGUUCUUAAAUUGAUCUCGAUCAGAUUCAGAACCCUUUUAUUUAUUAAUCUUCGCCCAUAUUUCUAUCUGAUCUAUCAUUAGUUUUUCACGAUAAUUUUUGAAAAGAAAGGAAAAUAUAUACUGUCAAGUGAUGAACUCGAAUUCUCCAUCAACGAGUGCGGGAGGACCUGGAUCGGCCGAUUCAACAGCGCCCAGAAGGAAUUCCAAGCGACCCAAAUGUAUUUUCCUCUCCCUACACAUUCUGUUUUUUAGUAUCUUAAUUAUUCUUAUUUUUAUUGAAUAAUGAUAUUUAAUUUGGGAAUUGAUAAGUAGUGUGAAAACAAUUGUCUUUAAUUGAAAAUUUAAUUGGGUUGGGUGAGGGGUUUUUCUUUUAAUCCUUGUUAAUUUGUAUAUAGCUGGGAAGUGCAGUGAGCAUGUUAUUUUAUGUAAUCACAAAGGGUACCUGUACAAUACUAAAAGAUUUGGCUGCUAAUCUUCUCCAAUUUCAUACUCAUGUUUGCUGCCAACAGUAGUAAACUUGAGUUAAGUCGAAUUAUAUCUGUGUGGGUUUUUACUCAAGGCAUAUUAAGGCUUGGAAAUAAUUUUAGCCCCUCUUUGAUCCUAUUAAAUUAAAUUAUAUUACAUUUCAUUUUUCUCCCUCCUAUUUUCAACUACACAAUCUUCCAUAAAAUAAUAUUACAAGUCGAAAACUUUUUCUUCUUUUUCAACCACUCACUUUUCUAAAAAAUAUUAUUCCCCCAUUUUCAUUUUCAGGUAAUGGGCAGCAAACAGGGGCUAGUAUCAAAAGCAUUUUUAUCAACAUAAUGCAUCAUUGACUAAAUCUAUUAUUCAUAUGAAUUUAAUUGGCAAACUGAUUUACCUACAAGAGAUUCUGAAAUAAGUAAAUUACAACGACACCCCAGAUGUAUGCGUCUAUAGGCUUGUUUUCAAUGAGAGAUGAUCCAAACCUAGUUCCAGCUCUUCAGGUCUUGAGUAGCUCAAUAGUUUGGGUUCUUGAAGCUCACAUGUUAGAAUUAGCAGGGAUUAAAAUCCAGCGAGCUUGGGUUGGGAAGUGCUUAAUGACUCACAGGGAAUGCACUGGCCAAUACUUCUUUUUUCAUCGGUUGUUUUGUACCACAAUCAUACUCCUUGCCUGAGUUUGAGCAAGUGAUGUAGUUGAAGACUUGAAGUGAAUAAAUGGUUAACUGAGGUAGAAGUGCAUAUGAACCAUAUAAAGAUUGCCUAAAAAGUUAGCUGCAGACCGUUAUACAUUUCUCCUAUUGAUUUAUUAUCAAUGACAAAGAUUGAGCACAUAUCUAUGUGAUAUUAAGUUGUACUUAUUGACACUGUCUUGGAAUUUUCGUGGAGGAUACUUGUUUUUAACUCAGUACAAGUAUCAUCCAUAGGAUGAAACUACCUAUUUCAUAAGGGCAGUUUCAAAAUGUGAAAAACAAUUGUUUCACUUGCUAAAACAUGGGAAUGUUGCAAAACCGAAUGUUUUGGCUUUCUAUUUCAUUUGGAGGUUGCAUUAGUUAGUAAAAUAUGGGAAUAUAAUUCAAUACCUUUCUUCAUCUUCAGAAUAAAUUGCGAAGCAAUAAUAUAUGUAUUUUGAUCACAAUUUGGAUUUUGAUUGAUUAAAGCAUCAUUACUGUUUUUGUUAUCUCUUCAGAUUCAAGGUUUACACAACAAGAACUUCCAGCAUGCAAGCCUAUUCUGACACCUAAAUGGGUAAAUAUUAUAAACUGUUUCUACACAUUACUGGUGCCUUAUUGUAAUUUACCACAUUAUGGGGAUUUAUUUUACCUAUGGAUUUACUUCCUCUCAUAAACUUUGUUCCGUGCAGGUGAUUUCAGCUUUCUUACUUGUUAGCAUUGUCUUCAUUCCCAUUGGCCUUGUCUCGCUAUUUGAUUCCCAGGAUGUAUGCUCAGUACUUCCUAACCUAUCGUUCUUUUGCUUUUUGUGCUUCCCUCACUAAAGUGGUUUCUUUUCAUCAGGUUGUUGAGAUUAUUGAUCGAUAUGAGACUGAUUGCAUUCCAUUAGAUUCAAGAAAUGAUAAGGUUGGAUUUAUUCAAAGUCCUCAAGAUAAAACCUGCCACAGAAAUCUGACGGUGAGUUUCAAUUCAAUGGUAUAUGAGUUUUACCAUGGCAAUUGCAUUUUAAAUUUCAGUAUAAUUAUAAAAUCUAACAUUUGAUAACUAUUGAUUAAUCAUCAGGUUCCAAAACUCAUGAAACGGCCCAUUUAUGUAUAUUAUCAGCUUGACAAUUUCUACCAAAAUCAUCGGAGGUACUUUCAUUGUUUCUAUAUUCUGACAUUAAAUUCGGUAAAUGAAAUAUUGAACUGUUUCUUUGAUGCAAUAUUUUGGAUUUCUACCUCUAUGGAUGAGUGUUAGUGAUUCCUUGUUUUUAUUAUAGAUAUAGAACUCUUCUAUAAGAGAAAUGAUUCCACUGAAAAUUUAAUUUUAUUCUCUCUUCUGGUAUCUUGUAAUAGUUGUCUAUUUGAAAUCUUUUGCACUUUGAUAGGAAUUCUUCAUGACUAUAUUAAUUUAUUAUUCCUUUUUAUUUUCAAACUAUGUGGCUGAUAUGUAUGCCCUUCCAAGAUAUGUGAAGAGCCGAAGUGAUCAGCAACUGAGAAAUCCAGGAGAUGAAGGUGACACAAGUGCCUGUGAGCCUGAAGACACUGCCCAUGGGAUGCCAAUUGUGCCUUGUGGUCUUAUAGCCUGGAGCCUGUUCAAUGAUACUUACAACUUCACACUCAAUAACCUACUGGUGACCAUAAACAAGACGGGUAUCUCGUGGAAGAGUGAUAAAGAUCACAAAAAUAUGCAUUAAAUUUAAUAAAAAAAAUAUAAUGGCAAGAAUAAGUAUAACUUCAAAAAAAAAUCUCAAAGAAAUAUUUUUUUUUUUUACCAUUUCAUCGACAUUCUUCAAAAAUUCAUAUUUGAAUAUAAAUUAAGGUUAAAAAAAAUAAUAAUAAACAGAAAAUAAGCCCCUGUUUUGAUGGAGAUUUUGGAUAAUAGAUUUUGUGAAAAGUGAUUUUUAUGGAGAACAUGGUUAAAAAGUAUGGAAAAGUUAUAGAUCCAAGUGUGAAAUUAUUUUGUUGAGAGAAUAUAUGGUUAACAAUGAGUUUGGGAAAAAUUAUUUUUAGAAAAUGGGGAACAAACAGGGGCUAAGAUGCUUCCACUGUUACGAACGUAUCUGAUUUCUGUCUUGAGAGAUCUUAUGAAAAGUAGAAAAGUGAACUGGAUAGUGGAUAUUCAAUUUGUUGCUUUGGCAGUUCGUAUACUUGCUACUUGUACUUCUUCUCUCAUCUUGAGUAGUAUUUCAAACUUGUCCCAGAUGACACUCCGAAGCGACGUGAUGCGAGAUCAUGCUUAAGCUUGUCUUUUAGUGCGAGACUGCUAUGUUAACUGAUAUGUAUAAAUUUUUCAGUCCUGUUAUUUAUUUCUAUUAAUUUGCUUUCUAGACUCGGCUAAUCAUCAGUUACUGAUAUGUUAAUAUUGAACAGUUGAGUGAGCAGGAGGACCUUAUUGUUUGGAUGCGAACUGCAGCACUUCCAACUUUCAGAAAACUAUAUGGGAAAAUAGAGGUGGAUCUUCAGGCUGGCGAUGUCAUUAAUGUGGAAUUGCAAAAUAAUUAUAACACCUAUAGUUUCGAUGGCAAGAAGAAACUCGUCCUUUCUACCACCAGCUGGCUUGGAGGAAAGAAUGACUUUCUUGGUAUUGCAUAUCUUGUUGUGGGUGGAUUGUGCUUCUUUCUCUCCUUGGUUUUCACAAUUAUCUAUCUAGUUAAGCCAAGGUACGUUUUAGUGCCUACAUUGUUUCCUCAUCUCAUAGUAUUUUUGUGGAAGUAAAUUUUUUGAGCAAAAAAACCUUUACCACUAUUAGAUGAAAACUAUAAUCGAUCUCACCUGCUGCCACGUGUUCUCACCACAUGCCAGAUUAUCCAAACUAACUGUAACAAAAUUCAUAUUUGAAUAUAAAUUAAGGUUAAAAAAAAAUAAUAAACAGAAAAUAAGCCCCUGUUUUGAUGGAGAUUUUGGAUAAUAGAUUUUGUGAAAAGUGAUUUUUAUGGAGAACAUGGUUAAAAAGUAUGGAAAAGUUAUAGAUCCAAGUGUGAAAUUAUUUUGUUGAGAGAAUAUAUGGUUAACAAUGAGUUUGGGAAAAAUUAUUUUCAGAAAAUGGGGAACAAACAGGGGCUAAGAUGCUUCCACUGUUACGAACGUAUCUGAUUUCUGUCUUGAGAGAUCUUCUGAAAAGUAGAAAAGUGAACUGGAUAGUGGAUAUUCAAUUUGUUGCUUUGGCAGUUCGUAUACUGGCUACUUGUACCUCUUCUCUCAUCUUGAGUAGUAUUUCAAACUUGUCCCAGAUGACACUCCGAAGCGACGUGAUGCGAGAUCAUGCUUAAGCUUGUCUUUUAGUGCGAGACUGCUAUGUUAACUGAUAUGUAUAAAUUUUUCAGUCCUGUUAUUUAUUUCUAUUAAUUUGCUUUCUAGACUCGGCUAAUCAUCAGUUACUGAUAUGUUAAUAUUGAACAGUUGAGUGAGCAGGAGGACCUUAUUGUUUGGAUGCGAACUGCAGCACUUCCAACUUUCAGAAAACUAUAUGGGAAAAUAGAGGUGGAUCUUCAGGCUGGCGAUGUCAUUAAUGUGGAAUUGCAAAAUAAUUAUAACACCUAUAGUUUCGAUGGCAAGAAGAAACUCGUCCUUUCUACCACCAGCUGGCUUGGAGGAAAGAAUGACUUUCUUGGUAUUGCAUAUCUUGUUGUGGGUGGAUUGUGCUUCUUUCUCUCCUUGGUUUUCACAAUUAUCUAUCUAGUUAAGCCAAGGUACGUUUUAGUGCCUACAUUGUUUCCUCAUCUCAUAGUAUUUUUGUGGAAGUAAAUUUUUUGAGCAAAAAAACCUUUACCACUAUUAGAUGAAAACUAUAAUCGAUCUCACCUGCUGCCACGUGUUCUCACCACAUGCCAGAUUAUCCAAACUAACUGUAACGUUGGAGGAUCCUCCAAUAACUCACUUUUUAAACGAGCAUGUGCAGUACUUUGUGUUCCUGAGCCAAAGUUCUAGACCGAGCCUUCACCGGGGACCUUUCUUAUUCUGCUGUCAUUCCCUUACCAUGAACCUAUUCUUCUUUGGCAAAAAGUCAUUGAUAUGUAAUCUUUGUUUCAG